rnacentral:lncRNA from 1 species
ACUAUCUCAAAAUACCAAGAGAGAAAAAUGUCUGCGUGGUAUCUGUCCAUGGUACCAACGGAACCCAAAUGUCCCCGUUUUCAGAACCAUGUAAGAAAGCUCUGUUGCAACCAACUUGAGUCUUAGGGAGAGUUUUGGCUCACUUGAAGAGCUUGGUCCAAAAGGAGGCCUUUCAAGAGUAGAUUAUAGCCGCCUGCAGAAAUUCCUGAGGCAAUUUACUAAGAAAAGAGAUGCAAAGAACAAACACAGAAAGCAACAAUGACUCCACCGCUCCCCUCCUUCCU